rnacentral:rRNA from 1 species
GAUGAACGCUGGCGGCGUGCCUAAUACAUGCAAGUCGAGCGAACAGACGAGGAGCUUGCUCCUCUGACGUUAGCGGCGGACGGGUGAGUAACACGUGGAUAACCUACCUAUAAGACUGGGAUAACUUCGGGAAACCGGAGCUAAUACCGGAUAAUAUAUUGAACCGCAUGGUACAAUAGUGAAAGACGGUUUUGCUGUCACUUAUAGAUGGAUCCGCGCCGCAUUAGCUAGUUGGUAAGGUAACGGCUUACCAAGGCAACGAUGCGUAGCCGACCUGAGAGGGUGAUCGGCCACACUGGAACUGAGACACGGUCCAGACUCCUACGGGAGGCAGCAGUAGGGAAUCUUCCGCAAUGGGCGAAAGCCUGACGGAGCAACGCCGCGUGAGUGAUGAAGGUCUUCGGAUCGUAAAACUCUGUUAUUAGGGAAGAACAGAUGUGUAAGUAACUAUGCACGUCUUGACGGUACCUAAUCAGAAAGCCACGGCUAACUACGUG